UGGCUAGAGUGUCUCGGCUGUUGACGCUUAUCAGAGAUGCCUUCUUCUACCUGUUACAUAUAUUUCCUGCCGGCACAAAGUUAUAAUACCCUUCUAUUCUAUGGAUAUCUCAUACUUUUUAUACGGACAGGCUGUCAGUCAAACGGAGAUGGGUUUAUCAUCUGUGCUCUUCACAUUGAUCAAGUGUUAAUAUGUAUAUAUACUGUAUUCGGAGAUAUUGCAGAUCUACUCUUUGAGUAAUACCAAUUGGGCAUAAGAAAGUGAAAAAACCAAUAGUAAACCAUUAAGGUUUAGCAAAUCUAAGUGGAACAAGAACUGCAUGGGAGUUUAAGGCAAAAUACAAAUCUUCAUCUGAUAUAUACUAUACAUAUUUCAACACUAAAAUAAUUACGACCAAAAACAACAAUCAUUAGACUCCGAAACCUUAGAUGGGUAUCUUCAGAAGAGGAAAAUGGAGACGUUCUCGAUGGGUCAAUAGCAAAAAACAGAUCAGGUGGUCUUCCCAGACAAUUUGGUGUAUCAUUAAUCUGGGACAAUGAUACACACGAAACACAUAUAAAAACAUUAAUUAGCGAGGGACGCAAUCCAAUAUUAAAAUAACCACGGUUAGCAGAUCACGAUCAAAAUUCUUACUUUUAAUUAUAGAAAACAAAGCUGGAGGAAUAUACGAAAAGAAGAUAAAACAAGUAAGAAAGUUACAGUCGACCCAUUUUUAAUAAAGGCAAAAUAUUGCGGUAUUAUUUUCAAAAUAUCCCGAUAAUACUAAAAAAACUAAAAAUAUACCAAAUGGAAUGUUUGGUAUAUCGAUAUAGUACACCAUUCAAAAUAUACCAUAGACGGCACAAUGUACCGGAUUGUCGG